rnacentral:rRNA from 1 species
CCUAAUACAUGCAAGUCGAGCGAAUGGAUUAAGAGCUUGCUCUUAUGAAGUUAGCGGCGGACGGGUGAGUAACACGUGGGUAACCUGCCCAUAAGACUGGGAUAACUCCGGGAAACCGGGGCUAAUACCGGAUAACAUUUUGAACCGCAUGGUUCGAAAUUGAAAGGCGGCUUCGGCUGUCACUUAUGGAUGGACCCGCGUCGCAUUAGCUAGUUGGUGAGGUAACGGCUCACCAAGGCAACGAUGCGUAGCCGACCUGAGAGGGUGAUCGGCCACACUGGGACUGAGACACGGCCCAGACUCCUACGGGAGGCAGCAGUAGGGAAUCUUCCGCAAUGGACGAAAGUCUGACGGAGCAACGCCGCGUGAGUGAUGAAGGCUUUCGGGUCGUAAAACUCUGUUGUUAGGGAAGAACAAGUGCUAGUUGAAUAAGCUGGCACCUUGACGGUACCUAACCAGAAAGCCACGGCUAACUACGUGCCAGCAGCCGCGGUAAUACGUAGGUGGCAAGCGUUAUCCGGAAUUAUUGGGCGUAAAGCGCGCGCAGGUGGUUUCUUAAGUCUGAUGUGAAAGCCCACGGCUCAACCGUGGAGGGUCAUUGGAAACUGGGAGACUUGAGUGCAGAAGAGGAAAGUGGAAUUCCAUGUGUAGCGGUGAAAUGCGUAGAGAU